rnacentral:rRNA from 1 species
UACGUAGGGGGCUAGCGUUGUCGUGAAUCAUUGGGCGUAAAGAGCGCGUAGGCGGCCAGAUAAGUCCGGUGUGAAAGUCAGAGGCUCAACCUUUGAAUGCCGCUGGAAACUGUCUGGCUAGAGUCCGGAAGGGGCGAGUGGAAUUCCUGGUGUAGCGGUGAAAUGCGCAGAUAUCAGGAGGAACACCAGUGGCGAAGGCG